rnacentral:rRNA from 1 species
AUGGCCAAGACUGAAAGGGCACAUGAUGGAUGCCUUGGCAUUGAGAGGCGAUGAAGGACGCGAGAACCUGCGAUAAGCCGAGAGGAGCCGGUAACUAGGCUGUGAUCCUCGGAUUUCCGAAUGGGGCAACCCUACCGAAAGGUAACUCUGGCCUGAAUGUAUAGGGCCAGUAGAGCGAACGCAGCGAACUGAAACAUCUCAGUAGCUGUAGGAAAGGAAAGCAACAGCGACUCCGCAAGUAGCGCCGAGCGAACGCGGAUCUAAACAGCGACCCGUAUGAACGGCCUGGAAAGGCCGACCAAAGAAGGUGAUAGU